GAUGAACGCUGGCGGCGUGCCUAAUACAUGCAAGUCGAGCGAACAGACGAGGAGCUUGCUCCUCUGACGUUAGCGGCGGACGGGUGAGUAACACGUGGAUAACCUACCUAUAAGACUGGGAUAACUUCGGGAAACCGGAGCUAAUACCGGAUAAUAUAUUGAACCGCAUGGUUCAAUAGUGAAAGACGGUCUUGCUGUCACUUAUAGAUGGAUCCGCGCUGCAUUAGCUAGUUGGUAAGGUAACGGCUUACCAAGGCAACGAUGCAUAGCCGACCUGAGAGGGUGAUCGGCCACACUGGAACUGAGACACGGUCCAGACUCCUACGGGAGGCAGCAGUAGGGAAUCUUCCGCAAUGGGCGAAAGCCUGACGGAGCAACGCCGCGUGAGUGAUGAAGGUCUUCGGAUCGUAAAACUCUGUUAUUAGGGAAGAACAAAUGUGUAAGUAACUAUGCACGUCUUGACGGUACCUAAUCAGAAAGCCACGGCUAACUACGUG
rnacentral:rRNA from 1 species